GUGAGCAAAUUGAUGCGGCAUCUUCAGACAUGAUGAUGCUCGAUGAUAACACAUCUCCGUACUGCAUUGGCCUACUCGGUAAUGGAGCAGUUCAUGGUGCGGAUCCUCUCAACUGGGCCAAGACCGCCAAGGCCAUGGAAUGCAGCCACCUCGAAGAAAUCAAGCGGAUGGUCGACACUUACCAAAAUGCCACCCAGGUCAUGAUCGAGGGAGCCACCCUCACUGUACCUCAGGUAGCAGCCAUUGCUCGCAGACCUGACGUGCAUGUCGUGCUCGAUGCUGCCAAUGCCAAGAGUAGAGUGGACGAGAGCUCCAACUGGGUGCUCGACAGGAUCAUGGGCGGAGGUGACAUCUACGGCGUUACCACCGGGUUCGGAGCGACCUCUCAUCGUCGCACGCAGCAAGGAGUGGAGCUCCAGCGCGAACUCAUCCGCUUCCUGAAUGCGGGAGUCCUCAGCAAGGGUAACUCCCUGCCAUCCGAGACUGCCCGAGCGGCGAUGCUAGUGCGUACCAACACGCUGAUGCAGGGCUAUUCUGGCAUCCGCUGGGAGAUCCUCCAAGCUAUGGAGAAGCUACUCAACGCGCACGUCACCCCCAAGUUGCCCUUGCGGGGUACCAUCACGGCAUCCGGCGACCUCGUCCCCUUGUCGUAUAUCGCCGGCCUGCUUACCGGUCGCCCCAAUUCCAAAGCCGUCACCGAGGACGGACGAGAGGUUUCCGCGCUGGAGGCCUUGCGCAUCGCAGGCGUGGAGAAGCCCUUCGAGCUGGCGCCCAAGGAAGGGCUCGCCCUUGUCAACGGCACCGCAGUCGGUUCCGCCCUCGCUUCCACCGUGUGCUACGAUGCCAACAUCAUGGUGUUGCUCGCCGAGGUUCUGUCCGCGCUCUUUUGCGAGGUAAUGCAGGGCAGCCCGAAUUUGCCGACCCCCUGACUCACAAGCUGAAGCACCACCCCGGACAGAUGGAAGCUGCGGCUGUCAUGGAGUGGGUGCUGGACGGGAGUUCCUUCAUGAAGGCUGCCGCCAAGUUCAAUGAGACCGACCCCCUGCGCAAGCCCAAGCAGGACAGAUACGCGCUGCGAACUUCCCCGCAGUGGCUGGGCCCUCAGGUGGAGGUCAUCCGCAACGCCACCCACGCCAUCGAGCGGGAGAUCAACUCUGUGAACGACAAUCCCAUCAUCGACGCUGCCAGGGGCAUCGCCCUGCACGGCGGCAACUUCCAGGGCACGCCCAUCGGCGUGUCUAUGGACAACACGCGCCUGGCGCUGGCCGCCAUCGCUAAGCUCAUGUUCGCACAAUUCUCCGAACUUGUGAACGACUACUACAACAACGGAUUACCGUCCAAUUUGAGCGGGGGACCCAACCCCAGCCUGGAUUACGGCAUGAAAGGGGCAGAGAUCGCCAUGGCCUCGUACUUAUCUGAGAUUAACUACCUAGCCAACCCGGUCACCACCCAUGUCCAAAGCGCGGAGCAACACAACCAAGAUGUGAACUCACUGGGAUUGGUGUCAGCCCGCAAAACGGAGGAAGCCAUGGAGAUUCUCAAGCUCAUGAGCGCCACCUUCUUGGUAGGCUUGUGCCAGGCUGUCGACCUGCGUCAUGUCGAAGAGACCAUGCAGUCGGCCGUGAAGCAAGUAGUGACACAGGUGGCCAAGAAGACGCUCUUCAUGGGCAGCGACGGAUCACUGCUGCCAUCACGCUUCUGCGAAAAGGAACUACUGAUGGUAGUGGAUCGUCAGCCGGUGUUCAGCUACAUCGACGAUUCCACCAGUGAUUCAUACCCUCUAAUGGAGAAACUGCGAGGGGUGCUGGUGAGCCGUGCCUUGAAGAGUGCCGACAAGGAGACCUCCAACGCAGUGUUUAGGCAGAUUCCAGUGUUCGAGGCAGAGCUGAAGCUGCAGCUGAGCCGUGUGGUGCCCGCGGUGCGAGAAGCAUAUGACACAAAGGGACUAUCCUCGGUUCCCAACAGGAUUCAAGACUGUAGGACGUAUCCAUUAUACAAGCUAGUGCGCGGAGACUUGAAGACGCAGCUCCUGUCCGGGCAGAGGACGGUGUCUCCUGGGCAAGAGAUUGAGAAGGUGUUCAAUGCCAUUUCUGCAGGCCAAUUGGUGGCUCCUUUGUUGGAAUGCGUUCAAGGCUGGACAGGCACACCAGGGCCCUUCCCCGCUCGCGCCUCUUGCUAGUUGACACUGCUUCACCUCCCAAUUUUGUUCCGUUCAUCUUCGUGUGGGUCACAUUGACGUUACAAUUAACUAAUAUUGUACAUUAGUAGGAAGUGCGUCACAUUGACGUUACAAUUAACAUUGUACAUUAGUAGGAGAUUCUUGUGUAAAUGCUUGGAGUUGAGGUUGUGUGGUGCCUUCACCCUUGACCACCUCUGUUAACUCACACAGCUUUUAAAUUGCAAUUGCAAUGCGUAGUAGUUGUGUAUAUAUUUCCUAACUUUAGAAGUAGAAGAGGAAGAAAGGUUCCAUUGUUUGCAAGCAAAAAUGAAAAAUGAAUAAGAGUUCACUUCAGCAACAACCAAGACAUUUACUUGAGUGGUCAUGGAUUGUUCUAAUUUGUUUAGAUGUCUUUGAAUGUUUAGUGGAGUUUCAAGAGGAUGGAUGUUUAGCGAUUGAUGUGAUGAUCUUCCCUUUAUUUUGUGACUUUGCUUUUGUUCUGUCCAAGCUUCCCUAUUGGUGCGCCAAAUGAUCAUGAAUUUGUUCAGGUAUUGGUUAAUUUGAAUGUUAUCAUUAGCACAAGAUAUAGUUGUUUUCAAAACUUUAAGAUUAGACAAGAUCAUGAAUUUGCUAGAAGAUGAUUUUAACCAUAUAUAUUAUUAACCCAAUGUGCUUUACACCAUGCCCAAAAUUUGGAUAUUAUAUUAUUCCAUGCCCAAGACUUGGAUAUUAUAUUGCACCAUGUCCAAAAUUUGGAUAUUCCAUCACACCAUGCCUAAUAUUUGAAUUUUAUGUUACACCAAGCCCAAAAUGUCUUGAAUACCACACCAUUUAACAUAUUCCAACUACAUUUGAAUUUUGAGAAUUUGGUCAAACCGGUGGAGGAUUAACUUUCUCAAUGACCGACAGACAACAAAUCACAGUUUUCAUGAAUUGUUGGCUGGGGCAUGCUACCAUGAUACCAUGAGUUCAAUGCAACCAACCAAAUAAGAGCCAAUUCCUUGCAGACUCUUCUCAGUUUCCAAUGCUACAGCAAGAGAUUCAAAAGUGACGAGAAACAGCUCAAAGAAACAGUGGGUAGUGUCGAACAAUCGCAGCUGAAUUAGAGGCUGCAAAUAUAAAAGCUCAAACGAACACAUGGUCCGGAGAUUCACCGAUGAAUUACAUUCCUGAAUUUCAGAUCCAUCGGCACAAUGCGCACUAGACACUCCCACUUCAUCUUCUUCCAACCUAAAUUUUCUAAAUAAGACUGUACUUCGCACCUCUGAUUGCAUUGUGACCAUACAUUGCCAAACUCCUGUCUUCCAGAAAUAAAUUGAGUGAACAAUAAGAACGCUAGAGUAGAUGCACUGCCAAUUUAGCACAGCGAGAGAAAUAUACCCACAGGCGCCAGCUCGUUCAGGUUCUGGAUACGAAACAGUGGAACCCUAGAUUUUAGCGUGUGUAAAGAGCUCGCUGAAGCAAGAACGUUAGGUUGAUUCGAUAACCUGAUUUCGCUUUUAAAAUUAAGCGCGAACUCUAGCUCAGGAAGGAAUACUAUUGAAAUUGAAUUGCACACUUCUAUGCUACGCUAUGCAAUGCAAUAAUAUGAUAUGAUACAAAUUGGUGAGGAUGGGGAGUAAAAAGGAGAGGUGGGGUGGAAUCUAAGCGGAGUUGGGAGCGGCGCGGAGCACAAGCACUUCCAGUGUCAGUCCUGGUCCGAAGCCAAUGAAGAAUCCGAACUCGCUGCCCUCGCCCAAAGUGGACGCACCCACCUUCACAGACCUGUGCCGAAUCUGAUCCAACACAAACAGCACAGAGGCGCUAGACAUGUUGCCAAAGUCAAAGUUUUGGAAAUCUCUUUUUGAGAUAUUGAAGGUGGAUAUCAAGCUUUCUUCGGCAUUUCAUCCUCAAACGGACGGCCAAACAGAACGGGUGAAUCAAGUUUUAGAGCAAUAUUUACGUUGCACCAUCAACUAUCAACAAGAUGAUUGGGCCGCAUAUCUACCGCUAGCCGAGUUCGCAUAUAACAACACCCUUCAUGCGUCAACUCAACAAACGCCAUUCUUUUCCAAUUAUGGAUACCAUCCAAAGCUUGACUUAUGGAGUUCGUCAACGAUUAACAAUCCGGCAGCUGAAGGAUUGGUGAAGGAGCUUUCGCAACUUCAAACUACAUUGAAGCUUCAAUUGUAAACUGCCCAAGAAUCUUACAAGGCGUCCGUGGACAAAUUUCAGAAUCAGGCACCUAAAUUCACGAUUGGAGACAAAGUUUGGCUGCUUCGACGAAAUAUUAAGACCAAGCGGCCAUGUGAGAAAUUGGACUAUCGGAGAUUGGGACCAUUUGUUAUCCAGAAGCAGAUCAAUCCUGUAGCGUAUCGUCUGGAGUUACCAGCUACUAUGAAGGUACAUCCUGUCUUUCAUGUUUCUUUGUUGGAGCCUUAUCGAAAAUCGUCUUUUCCUGGAAGAGUAUAAUGUCCACCACCUAGCAUAGAAAUAGAGAACCACAAAGAAUACGAGGUGGAAAAGGUCCUGGAUUCACGACAAAGACGGGGUAAAUUAGAAUACUUUGUGCAUUGGAGCGGUUACGAUAUUAAUGAACGAAUAUGGGAGCCGACCAAAAAUCUCGCGAAUGCGCCGCAAAAGGUACAGGAGUUUCAUCGACGAUAUCCUGAGAAACCCAAGCCGGUUCGACGAUAGCUUCUUACUGAAGCUUGCUCAUCCAGAAAACAGAAAAGAAGAGAGAGCACCACCAAAAUCCAUAGUUGAUGUAGUCAUUCUCUCCAAGAUAGCGUAGAACUUUGUUAGUAGCCCAAGUUUGUUCUUAUUGUUUUAGCCUUUGAAUAUGGAUAGCUAAGAUACUACACUUGUCAUGUCAUCUCAAGCAACUAGCUCACGAAGACGACCGCGAGAUGAAGAAUCGCCUGCACCACGACGACGUCGAAGGAUUCUGAGCAACAAAUCGCUGGUGAUUGUAUUUGAGGUCGAGCCUGCCUACAAUGGUCAGCUAGAAGGAGUGUUUGUAGGACAAUUUCACAAUGAAGACACGGAGGUUCAAACUGGGUCAGAAGUUGAAGGCGUGGGCCACUACCGUUGGCUUCAAGGACCAUUGAAUCACUUGCCUCGUGAACAACAAUUGGAGUUCAUAGCAGAGGUUAUGCGACAGAUCUUCAUUUUCUUGCGUUGGUAUUGACUGACGAUAACAUUGCUUCUCGGAGACCUCGAAGCUAAAGGAGGAGGUGAUGUUAGGGACAUAGUCCUUAGACCUUUUUAGAGACAAGUUUCUAGAACCUUCUAGAAAGAAGUCUCUAGAAACUUCCAGAAGAUUCUUUGAAUAUUUUCUUAGAAUAUUCUUUAAAGAUUUCCUAAAGAUUCUAUGAAGAUUCCCUAAAGAUUCCCUUAGAAGGCUCUAGAAGAUUCUUAGAAUAUUCUAGUAGAUUCUAGGAAGUUACUUGAGAAGCUUCAUAGCUCUUGGGUAGUUGCUCGAGAAGCUUCAUAGUUCUUGGGAAGCUUCUUGAUGCGCUUCCUUAGAACCAUAGGCCAGUAGUAUAUAUAGGAGUCGAGGCUGAAGAGUUCUUCAGUCUCGACAACACAUCUCUUGAAGCUCUAGCUCAAUCCUCUUGGCGUUGCUCUUGUACUCAUCUGAUAAUCUAGUUCUUGUCAUUUCUUCUUGAACUUCUUGUUUAGAUUUCUUGUUUGUAUUUUUGGUCCGUGACAUAAAGAACAUUCUACAUCAACAUAUUGAAGAAUCGUUGGCGCAUGUCGGAGGAUGCACAGAUUCAGGGAGGAUAGAUGUCAUGAUAUAACACGAUUAAUAGAUGAAAGAGUGUGGAGAUUAUUAUAAUUUAAGAGAUCUUAGUUCAAAGUAUUAGAACAAAUUAUCUUAGAAAUAUAGUUAAUAGCCAAAGGGAUAGAAAAAUUAAAAGGUAUCAAUGCUGCCUUUUAGAAAGGUGAUUUCUACUUACUUUGUAGUACCAUAAGUAAGGCAAAUCAAAGUAGAUUGAGAAAAUAAAUCAUAUAGGAAUCUUUAGAAGAAAGUUAAGAGUAAAUUCUAGAAAAAAAUUACUUAGAAAAACUAGAUAUUGAUACCCGGAGAGACCCGGUUAUGAACCAGGGUGGAAAUCAGACCUUGAGGCACAAAACCGAGUCUUGACGACGACUCCGGGACUCUUUGGCAGAUCAGAGAGUGGGGUUGGAGAGAAGGUUGGAUAGAAUUUCUAUGGGCGUUGAUUUUGGGUGAUUUGGAGUUGAUAUGAAUUUGUAAGAGCUUUGCAAAGUUGAGUUAUUUUUCGGAUGACUUGGGUUUUAUGAAAUAAAAUGGGGUUUAUGUUUUGAGUGAUUUCGAGAGUUUUGUUGCAGAUCUAUAGGUGAAUUUUUUUGAUGAAUACAUGUUGUGAAUUUGAGCACAUCUCCGUACUGCAUUGGCCUACUCGGUAAUGGAGCAGUUCAUGGUGCGGAUCCUCUCAACUGGGCCAAGACCGCCAAGGCCAUGGAAUGCAGCCACCUCGAAGAAAUCAAGCGGAUGGUCGACACUUACCAAAAUGCCACCCAGGUCAUGAUCGAGGGAGCCACCCUCACUGUACCUCAGGUAGCAGCCAUUGCUCGCAGACCUGACGUGCAUGUCGUGCUCGAUGCUGCCAAUGCCAAGAGUAGAGUGGACGAGAGCUCCAACUGGGUGCUCGACAGGAUCAUGGGCGGAGGUGACAUCUACGGCGUUACCACCGGGUUCGGAGCGACCUCUCAUCGUCGCACGCAGCAAGGAGUGGAGCUCCAGCGCGAACUCAUCCGCUUCCUGAAUGCGGGAGUCCUCAGCAAGGGUAACUCCCUGCCAUCCGAGACUGCCCGAGCGGCGAUGCUAGUGCGUACCAACACGCUGAUGCAGGGCUAUUCUGGCAUCCGCUGGG
rnacentral:lncRNA from 1 species